ACGGAAGGCAGCAGUAGGGAAUAUUGCACAAUGGGGGAAACCCUGAUGCAGCAACGCCACGUGUGGGAAGAAGCAUUUCGGUGUGUAAACCACUGUCGUGAAGGAAUAAUGCUGGACCUCGGUCCAGUUGAAUGUACUUUGAAAGGAAGCACCGGCAAACUUCGUGCCAGCAGCCGCGGUAAUACGAGGGGUGCAAGCGUUGUUCGGAAUCACUGGGCGUAAAGGGAGCGCAGGCGGAGAUGCAAGCGGACUGUACAAUCCCGGGGCCCAACCCCGGACCUGCAGUCCGGACUGCACCUCUUGGAUAGUUCAGGGGCAAGCGGAAUUCCUGGUGUAGCGGUGGAAUGCGUAGAGAUCAGGAAGAACACCGAUGGCGAAGGCAGCUUGCUGGGGACUUAUCGACGCUCAUGCUCGAAAGUGCGGGUAGCAAACAGGAUUAGAUACCCUGGUA
rnacentral:rRNA from 1 species